rnacentral:lncRNA from 1 species
CAGGGAUGUCAAAUGACUCAUUUAACAUUUGAAUCAUAUCCUCUGAUUGCGCAUCCUUGAACUUAUGACUAAAUUCAUCAUUCAUGACUGCCUUUAUAAUGCAAUGCACUGUCGUGCGGUCAUUGAGCCACUUCAAAUAAGUGUCUCUCAUAGCACAGGGUGCAUUGGCAGUAGGUUCUUCAGGUGGUAGAUCCGUAAGUACGUACAGAAUCUUCUCA